UACAUUUUAGUAUAUGGUGUAUAGAAAUUUUUGAUAUUUCUGGAAGUAGUUUAAUUCUAUUAAAUGUAA
rnacentral:tRNA from 1 species